GAUGAACGCUAGCGGCAGGCCUAAUACAUGCAAGUCGGGCGGCAAGUUGAGGAGUAAUCUGAGACCUAGAGCGGCGGACGGGUGCGUAACGCGUAUGCAACCUGCCCCUUACCGGGGGAUAGCCCGGGGAAACCCGGAUUAAUACCCCAUAGGAUAACACUGUGGCAUCACGGAGUUAUUAAAGAUUUAUCGGUAAGGGAUGGGCAUGCGUAGGAUUAGUUAGUUGGCGGGGUAACGGCCCACCAAGACUUUGAUCCGUAGGGGUUCUGAGAGGAAGGUCCCCCACACUGGCACUGAGAUACGGGCCAGACUCCUACGGGAGGCAGCAGUAGGGAAUAUUGGGCAAUGGGCGGGAGCCUGACCCAGCCAUGCCGCGUGCAGGAAGAAGGCGUUAUGCGUUGUAAACUGCUUUUAUACGGGAAGAAAAGGCCCAUGCGUGGGACAUUGCCGGUACCGUAUGAAUAAGCACCGGCUAACUCCGUGCCAGCCGCCGCCGUAAGAC
rnacentral:rRNA from 1 species